UACAGAGGGGGCAAGCGUUAUUCGGAAUUAUUGGGCGUAAAGGGCGCGUAGGCGGCCUGGCAAGUGGAUGGUGAAAUCCCUCGGCUUAACCGAGGAACUGCCCUCCAAACUGCUUGGCUUGAGACCGGGAGAGGUGAGUGGAAUUCCCGGUGUAGCGGUGAAAUGUGUAGAGAUCGGGAGGAACACCGGUGGCGAAGGCGGGUCUCUGGGCAAUUCCUGACGCUGAGGCGCGAAAGCGUGGGGAGCAAACAGG
rnacentral:rRNA from 1 species